CUCUAUCAGAUCUGUCAGAGAGAGAGCAGGAGACGGUUGUGAAGUUUAACGUUGGUCGUCCCCAGAGAAGAAGUUGGUCAUUUCACUGCGCGGAUUAGAAACCAAUUUGAAACGU